rnacentral:rRNA from 1 species
GCGUGAGGAACCUGCCUCAAAGAGGGGGACAACAGUUGGAAACGACUGCUAAUACCGCAUAAGCCCACGGGUCGGCAUCGACCAGAGGGAAAAGGAGCAAUCCGCUUUGAGAUGGCCUCGCGUCCGAUUAGCUAGUUGGUGAGGUAACGGCCCACCAAGGCGACGAUCGGUAGCCGGACUGAGAGGUUGAACGGCCACAUUGGGACUGAGACACGGCCCAGACUCCUACGGGAGGCAGCAGUGGGGAAUAUUGCACAAUGGGGGAAACCCUGAUGCAGCGACGCCGCGUGGAGGAAGAAGGUCUUCGGAUUGUAAACUCCUGUUGUUGAGGAAGAUAAUGACGGUACUCAACAAGGAAGUGACGGCUAACUACGUGCCAGCAGCCGCGGUAAAACGCAGGUCACAAGCGUUGUCCGGAAUUACUGGGUGUAAAGGGAGCGCAGGCGGGAAGACAAGUUGGAAGUGAAAUCCAUGGGCUCAACCCAUGAACUGCUUUCAAAACUGUUUUUCUUGAGUAGUGCAGAGGUAGGCGGAAUUCCCGGUGUAGCGGUGGAAUGCGUAGAUAUCGGGAGGAACACCAGUGGCGAAAGGCGGGCCUACUGGGCACCAACUGACGCUGAGGCUCGAAAGUGUGGGUAGCAAACAGGAUUAGAU